GUCUACGGCCAUACCACCCUGAAUGCGCCCGAUCUCGUCUGAUCUCGGAAGCUAAGCAGGGUUGGGCCUGGUUAGUACUUGGAUGGGAGAAUAUUAGUAAAGAUACAGAGCAUUUGAACACU
rnacentral:rRNA from 1 species